CAGCAUCGCUAGGGGUCCUGCUCCUGUUGUGUACCAUUCGCACCAAAACGCGUAUGGCAUAAACAGGGCGGGUGAGAGUUACCCUUAGAACCUGACCCGGAUAAUACCGGCGUAGGGAAGCGUAAUCUGCCAGAC
rnacentral:ncRNA from 2 species